rnacentral:sRNA from 1 species
GUGACUGAUUUUGGCUUAGCGGUAAAGAAGCAAAGUAGGAGUGAAGCCAUGCUGCAGGCCACAUGUGGGACUCCUAUCUAUAUGGAUUACGUGGAGAACCACCCUUUUUGGCAAGCUCAGAAGAGAAGCUUUUUGAGUUAAUAAGAAAAGGAGAACUACAUUUUGAAAAUCCAGUCUGGAAUUCCAUAAGUGACUGUGCUAAAAGUGUUUUGAAACAACUUAUGAAAGUAGAUCCUGCUCACAGAAUCACAGCUAAGGAACUACUAGAUAACCAGUGGUUAACAGGCAAUAAACUUUCUUCGGUGAGACCAACCAAUGUAUUAGAGAUGAUGAAGGAAUGGAAAAAUAACCCAGAAAGUGUUGAGGAAAACACAACAGAAGAGAAGAAUAAGCCGUCCACUGAAGAAAAGUUGAAAAGUUACCAACCCUGGGGAAAUGUCCGUGAUGCCAAUUACACUUCAGAUGAAGAGGAGGAAAAACAGUCUACUGCUUACGAAAAGCAAUUUCCUGCAACCAGUAAGGACAACUUUGACAUGUGCAGUUCAAGUUUCACAUCUAGCAAACUCCUUCCAGCUGAAAUCAAGGGAGAAAUGGAGAAAACCCCUGUGACUCCAAGCCAAGGAACAGCAACCAAGUACCCUGCUAAAUCCGGGGCCCUGUCCAGAACCAAAAAGAAACUCUAAGGUUCCCUCCAGUGCUGGACAGUACAAAAACAAAGCUGCUCUUGUUAGCACUUUGAUGAGGGGGUAGGAGGGGAAGAGGACAGCCCUAUGCUGAGCUUAUAGCCUUUUAGCUCCACAGAGCCCCGCCAUGUGUUUGCACCAGCUUAAAAUUGAAGCUACUUAUCUCCAAAGCAGCAUAAGCUGCACGUGGCAUUAAAGGACAGCCACCAGUAGGCUUGGCAGUGGGCUGCAGUGGAGAUCAACUCAAGAUGUACACGAAGGUUUUUUAGGGGGGCAGAUACCUUCAGUUUAAGGCUGUGGGCACACUUGCUCAUUUUUACUUCAAAUUCUUAUGUUUAGGCACAGCUAUUUAUAGGGGAAAACAAGAGGCCAAAUAUGGUAAUGGAGGUGCCAAAUAAUUAUGUGCACUUUGCACUAGAAGACUUUGUUAGAAAAUUACUAAUAAACUUGCCAUAGGUAUUACAGCAGAAGUGCUUCAGUCAUUCACAUGUGUUCGUGAGAUUUUAGGUUGCUAUAGAUUGUUUAAGACAGCUUAUUUUAAAUGUAGAAAAAUAGGAGAUUUUGUAACUGCUUGCCAUUAACUUGCUGCUAAAUUCCCAAUGUGUUGAUUAAAUCAAUAAAAAACAGAUGUUACUCAGCACA